rnacentral:rRNA from 1 species
UGGGGAAUUUUGGACAAUGGGCGCAAGCCUGAUCCAGCCAUGCCGCGUGCGGGAAGAAGGCCUUCGGGUUGUAAACCGCUUUUGUCAGGGAAGAAAUCUUCUGAGUUAAUACCUCGGGAGGAUGACGGUACCUGAAGAAUAAGCACCGGCUAACUACGUGCCAGCAGCCGCGGUAAUACGUAGGGUGCAAGCGUUAAUCGGAAUUACUGGGCGUAAAGCGUGCGCAGGCGGUUUUGUAAGACAGAGGUGAAAUCCCCGGGCUCAACCUGGGAACUGCCUUUGUGACUGCAAGGCUUGAGUGCGGCAGAGGGGGCAUGGAAUUCCGCGUGUAGCAGUGAAAUUGCGUAGAUAUGCGGAGGAACACCGAUGGCGAAGGCAAUCCCCCUGGGCCUGCACUGACGCUCAUGCACGAAAGCGUGGGGAGCAAACAGGAUUAGAUACCCUGGUAGUCC